AAAUUAAACGAUUUUCACCUUCAUAUAUCCUCGAUAAUAUGGUUCGAGAGUCUCUACCGGAUUACCUUAAAUGAUCUGACUAUGAAGGCAGGAUACAGUCUG
rnacentral:ncRNA from 2 species